UUCCUACGGGACGCAGCAGUGGGGAAUAUUGCACAAUGGGGGGAACCCUGAUGCAGCGACGCCGCGUGAGGGAAGACGGUCUUCGGAUUGUAAACCUCUGUCUUUGGGGAAGAAAAUGACGGUACCCAAAGAGGAAGCUCCGGCUAACUACGUGCCAGCAGCCGCGGUAAUACGUAGGGAGCGAGCGUUGUCCGGAAUUACUGGGUGUAAAGGGAGCGUAGGCGGGCGAGAAAGUUGAAUGUUAAAUCUACCGGCUUAACUGGUAGCUGCGUUCAGAACUUCUUGUCUUGAGUGAAGUAGAGGCG
rnacentral:rRNA from 1 species